rnacentral:rRNA from 1 species
AUUGAACGCUGGCGGAAUGCUUUACACAUGCAAGUCGAACGGCAGCACGGGAGCUUGCUCCUGGUGGCGAGUGGCGAACGGGUGAGUAACAUAUCGGAACGUAUCCAAUAAUGGGGGAUAACUAAGCGAAAGCUUGGCUAAUACCGCAUACGCCCUGAGGGGGAAAGCUAGGGAUCUUCGGACCUGGCGUUAAUGGAGCGGCCGAUAUCUGAUUAGCUAGUUGGUGGGGUAAAAGCUCACCAAGGCGACGAUCAGUAGCUGGUCUGAGAGGACGACCAGCCACACUGGAACUGAGACACGGUCCAGACUCCUACGGGAGGCAGCAGUGGGGAAUUUUGGACAAUGGGCGCAAGCCUGGUCCAGCCAUUCCGCGUGAGUGAAGAAGGCCUUCGGGUUGUAAAGCUCUUUCGCAAGGGAAGAAAGAUUACGCUCUAACAUAGCGUGAUUAUGACGGUACCUUGAUAAGAAGCACCGGCUAACUACGUGCCAGCCGCCGCAGUAAGAC